rnacentral:rRNA from 1 species
GAUGAACGCUGGCGGCGUGCCUAAUACAUGCAAGUCGAGCGAACUGAUUAGAAGCUUGCUUCUAUGACGUUAGCGGCGGUCGGGUGAGUAACACGUGGGCAACCUGCCUGUAAGACUGGGAUAACUUCGGGAAACCGAAGCUAAUACCGGAUAGGAUCUUCUCCCUCAUGGGAGAUGACGUAAAGAUGGUUUCGGCUAUCACUUACAGAUGGUCCCGCGGUGCGUUAGCUAGGUGGUGGGGUAACGGCUCACCAAGGCAACGAUGCAUAGCCGACCUGAGAGGGUGAUCGGCCACACUGGGACUGAGACACGGCCCAGACUCCUACGGGAGGCAGCAGUAGGAAAUCUUCCGCAAUGGACGAAAGUCUGACGGAGCAACGCCGCGUGAGUGAUGAAGGCUUUCGGGUCGUAAAACUCUGUUGUUAGGGAAGAACAAGUACGAGAGUAACUGCUCGUACCUUGACGGUACCUAACCAGAAAGCCACGGCUAACUACGUGCCAGCAGCCGCCGUAA